rnacentral:lncRNA from 10 species
CUGUUAACAUUUGCCACAACUUUUAGACGUUGCAGUUGGUGGGAGGGAACAAGCAAACACUUCUGCUAAGUAAUCUCUUUCUCCUUUUUGGAUAGAGUUAAGACACUGCAUCUACCCAAAACAAAAAAGUUACAAUGGGGUUUGGUUAGCAACAUUUUCCUUUGGCUAGGAUCUUGUGGAAUAAAAGUAACAUUUUUUUUUAACUAGAACAUUCUAUCAUGGCCUCUCUAUUGUUAACUUUAGACUCUGUAGCUGUUCAUUUGUAUCAUCAAGCUCUGAAGAUGACUUGCAGCCCAUCUCCACUUCCAUGGAGGUUUCCUAGGCCCAGGAAAAGGAAGUGUACAGUGGAAUUUUCCAGAGGCUACAUGAUGCAACAGAUUGAAUGCAGAAGCAAGAUAUGAGAAUCCAGCUGUCUUCAUUUGCACUACAUGUUAAAGAGCUUUGCAGAAAUGUGAAACAAUGCCACUUUUCUAAUUUUUUUGUUUUGGAAAAUAAACUUUUGGUAAAAAUAUGUUAUUUAUAUUAACAUGUAAAUGUUUUAUGAUUGUUAUUUUAAAUAAAUUAAUAAAAACAU